CACAUACUCCCUUCGUCCGGAAAUACUUGUCAUGGGAAUGGAUGUAUCUAGAUGUAUUUUAGUUCUAAAUACAUCCAUUUUUAUUCACUUGUGUGACAAGUAAUUUCGGACGGAGAUUGUAUUAA
rfam:Hordeum vulgare subsp. vulgare, WGS project CAJW01000000 data, contig: morex_contig_140155